rnacentral:lncRNA from 1 species
CAAGCAUUUAGUACUUCAGUGUUAAAAAUUAUCCUCUUAAGAAUUAUCUCCAGGGGGUGGGGUGAGAAAAAAAGAAUUAUCUCCAAACUACCUAGGUGAUUUUCUAGAAUCAUCACCAUAGUGACGACUAUGCAGGUCCAGAUUAUUUAGAUGAUUAAAUUACAUGAAGAGGUAACCCAGAUUUACCCUUACUGGUCUCAGUCAGCCGUUUCCUUGUAAUGUCUGGACACUUGGCGCUCAUUUGUUGAAGCUAGAAGGUUCCAGGCUUCCCAGCCCAAUGACUCUAGCUGAAGAAACUUUUUUUUUCCUGCCUGAAGGUUACAUACAUAUCUUUGAGGCUUUAAACGUUUAUGGGACCACAGGUGAGGAGCAAGCAGGUGGUAGUGGGCUCAGAAACCAGACAGUGAUUAUGUUUCCAUCAUAUGUUAUGGAAACUGAGUGAAAAUGGAGAGCAUCCUUCUCCCAAGAGGUUCAGAUACAGGUUUGUACUGGGUGUGGCUUCAUGACCUUUAUACUAUUUUCAAAAGAAAAUGCUAAAGAUAUUUUUGAAUAAAGUCUUGAGAAUACACAU